UACGUAGGCAGCGAGCGUUGUUCGGAAUUACUGGGCGUAAAGAGUGUGUAGGCGGUGUUCCCAGUCUGUUGUGAAAUCUCCCGGCUUAACUGGGAGGGUGCAGCGGAAACUAGAAUGCUAGAGGGUGGGAGAGGUAAGCGGAAUUCCUGGUGUAGGAGUGAAAUCCGUAGAUAUCAAGAGGAACAUCGGAGGCGAAGGCGGCCAACUGGUGAAGUAUUGACGCUGAGGUGCGAAAGCGUGGGGAGCAAACAGG
rnacentral:rRNA from 1 species